rnacentral:rRNA from 1 species
AAACUCAAAGGAAUUGACGGGGAGCACCACAACGGGUGGAGCUUGCGGUUUAAUUGGAUUCAACGCCGGAAAUCUUACCGGGACCGACAGCAAUAUGAAGGCCAGGCUGAAGACUUUGCCGGAUUAGCUGAGAGGUGGUGCAUGGCCGUCGUCAGUUCGUACUGUGAAGCAUCCUGUUAAGUCAGGCAACGAGCGAGACCCACGCCCACAGUUGCCAGCGUACUCUCCGGAGUGACGGGUACACUGUGGGGACCGCCGCUGCUAAAGCGGAGGAAGGAAUGGGCAACGGUAGGUCAGUAUGCCCCGAAUAUCCCGGGCUACACGCGAGCUACAAUGGUUGGUACAAUGGGUAUCUACCCCGAAAGGGGACGGAAAUCUCCUAAAACCAAUCUUAGUUCGGAUUGAGGGCUGCAACUCGCCCUCAUGAAGCUGGAAUCCGUAGUAAUCGCGUUUCAACAGAACGCGGUGAAUACGUCCCUGCUCCUU